GUGAAUCUUCAAAGUCGGCUCGUCGGAUUGUGCUGGUGGAGACACAUGUGCACGUCUUGUGAGUCGCAAAUCCACACACCUGUGCAUCUAUGACUCUGAGUGCCGCUUUGCAUGGCCUUUGAUUGGGCCUGGCGCUCGAGUACUUUCACACACUCUUGAAUGUAACAGAAUGUCUUGUCGUGCGUAACGCACAGAAACGAAA
rnacentral:misc_RNA from 1 species